rnacentral:rRNA from 1 species
UAUUUUUGUUGAGGGCGUUAAAGCCUGCCAAGAUUAUGACAAUACAGAUAAUUUUUAGGAAAGUUACUUUAGGUUGUGAAUAUUGAUAUAGAAAAGUUUUAUUAGUUUAAAAGUUAUAAUGUUGAAAUUAGUAGAAGGAAAACCUCGUAUUUUUUGUGGAUUAAUCAAGCCUAACUUUGGAUGGAGCAAUUGUUUAUAUUCGGGAAAUUAGUUUGUGAAAUUGUCUGCUAACACAAGUGAUACGAUGAUAGUUAGAGCUAAGGGAAAGGAACUCGGCAAAUAAGUAUUUNNNNNNNNNNNNNNNNNNNNCGCUCUUUGUAAAGGAUCUGAGAUAUAAGGAGUCCUGCCUGCCCGGUGACUUAGGUUAAACGGCCGCGGUAUUUUGACCGUGCAAAGGUAGCAUAAUCAUUUGCUUCUUAAAUGGGGGCUAGAAUGAAUGGCAAGACGUAAAUUAAGCUGUCUCUCUCUUAUACUUUUAAAUUAAUAUUUUUGUGAGGAGUCAAAAAUAAGGUCGUAGGACGAGAAGACCCUAUUGAGCUUUAGUAGAAGAAGCUGUAAUUAUUGUUUGUGUUUAAUUGCUAAUUAAUGGUUUAUAAUUUUAUUUGAUUUUACUAUUAAGGGCAUGGUGGUGUGCAGUGGGUACUUAGGUUGGGGCAACCACGGAGAAUAGAGACCCUCCGUUAAUUUUAUUAGUGAAAGAGUUUUUCUAGAUUAAGAUUUUAUUGUAAAAGUGAUCCACUUGUGAGGUGAUCAAAAGAAUAAGUUACCAUAGGGAUAACAGCGUAAUUUUUUUGGAGAGUUCAUAUUGAUAAAGAAGUUUGCGACCUCGAUGUUGGAUCGGGAUUUCCUGGGGAUGUAGAAGUUCCUGAGGGUUGGUCUGUUCGACCAUUAAAAUCCU